CCCCGGGAUCGUGCUCGGUCUCGGGCGGAGGCCCCGUGCCGGUCCUACUAAAAAGCCACACGGGAGCCCAGCGGCGGCGCCGUGCCGAUCCCAAAGACAGAGGCAGUCGAGCAGCAACCCUACAGGAGCCCCAGCACGAGAGAUCUUACCGAGCGACUCUCAAACACUCACCGCUUCCACGAGCUCACUGCUUCGGGCCGAUGAGAGCCUCUGCUGCAGCCCUCGCUCAGCCUGCAACACGAGAAACCUUUUGUUUCAACAACCCUUCGCUUCGCUUCCCUCUCCCGGCAGCACAGAGGCUGCACGAAUACGGCCCCAUCGCGUUCGCUCCUACCGAGGAGAGCCUGAAGAACUGAAGCACCCGCUGAAAGAAAUCCCGAGGAUGGGGGGGCUGAGAGCACCCCGGGGCUGCGCGAGAACUCGGGGGUCUGAGCGGCAGCCGCCUCCAAAAUGCGACGGCGGCCGGGCGACGGCGGCGAUGCCGUAUCGGCUCCGCACAGCCGGGGGAGCCCGGCGGCGACCUAACGCCGGCCCCGAGAAGAGCGGGGUCCGACAGCCGCCUGCUCCGGAGAUCCUGGCGGCUCCCGAGCGCUCACCGUCCCCUUACUACUCGAACCGCUCACCUGUUUGGGCUGGUCCUUACCGCGAAAGGUCUCACAGCAGCCUGAAACAAAACGACACCACGAGAACAUUAAAGAGAACCUCAAGGCUCCGUCCCCCCCCAAAAAACCCCGCGUACCGCUUCUCAGCCUCAGCAGCGUCAGGGCCCGACAAAGAAACAGAACUCACUCCGUCUCCUAUCCACAACCGCAGAAACUCCCCCGUGGCUCCCGGCAGCCUCCGGAGGAGCUUAAGAGGCUUUGGGGCGGGCCCCGCCCGCGGCUCCCGACGAGGCGCAGCUGCGCCCGGCCGGCCGCGGCCCCGCGGCACCUGGGAGUCGUUGCCUCCUUAGCGCAGCCGGCCUCGUUAGGGACGGCCCGGGGCUCUGACAGUUUGACGUGCGGACUCCGGAUCUGAAUUAGGGACUUAAAUUACACUUUGAAGUACAGUUUGUUACGCGCUUCUCCUUCUCGCCGCACUGUGGGAUUCAUCGAUAAGUUAAGUAAUUGUGCCAAUUCAAACGGGUCGCUUUGCAUCCGACGCGACCGGCGCGAUAGAGCGUCUCCCCUCCGAAGAACGUUCCCGGCCUUAACGGUUUCCAGGGGCCCCCGAUGGGUGCGUCUCCGCUCCGCUUUCCAUCGCCCCAAUUCCGAACAAAAGAAAAAGGAAAAAAAAAAUAAAUUAAUUAAUAAGAAAAAUAAGUCUUGUUGGAACAAACGUGCAGACCUUCACUGCUCAGGGGGACUACAAACCAAAGUAAAACUAGGGGCCGGCAAAAACAUGGUGCUCCACAGUCUUAAUUUAAUAAAACCUCCUGAAACAGUGUGAAAUUCAGAAGCCUGUGGUCGGGCUGAAGCGUGGUGUGCUGGCUGGCAGAUGUUUGGAAAGGUGCUAAGAUGUAACUCUUACUGUCCAUAGAAUUUGCUGUUAACCACUUGCAAGAUACAAAGUGACGGCCAGCUGGAUGAAUAGGAGAAUGUAUGUGAACACCCGGAACUGACAGACCCGGGACAGUGCAUGUGGCUUGAAGUGGGCACUGAGAGAAAGCUCAGACAAUGUAUAUACAUGCUUUAACAUUCAAAUUAAUUUCCAUCGGGACACGACUUAAUUAAGCCCCAUUUGCCCAGUCUGCCCGCCUCUGUGAUCCCCCGCAGCACUGGCUGGAAGUCCGCCGCGUGUCAGUGAGGAGCUGCUGCAGAAGGAAGAAGAAGAAGCGGCGUGGGGACCUGGGAGGCAGGAGCAAGCAAGAAGAGGAAGCGGAAGCGUGCAGAUGCGGGGGGAAGGAGAGAGGCUCCCUGGGCAAAG
ensembl:lncRNA